UUGGGCACUCUAAGGUGACUGCCGGUGACAAACCGGAGGAAGGUGGGGAUGACGUCAAAUCAUCAUGCCCCUUAUGACCUGGGCUACACACGUGCUACAAUGGACGGUACAAAGAGCUGCAAGACCGCGAGGUGGAGCUAAUCUCAUAAAACCGUUCUCAGUUCGGAUUGUAGGCUGCAACUCGCCUACAUGAAGCUGGAAUCGCUAGUAAUCGCGGAUCAGCAUGCCGCGGUGAAUACGUUCCCGGGCCUUGUACACACCGCCCGUCACACCACGAGAGUUUGUAACACCCGAAGUCGGUGGGGUAACCUUUAUGGAGCCAGCCGCCUAAGGUGGGACAUAUGAUUGGGGUGAAGUCUUAACAAGGUACCGUAUCGGAAGGUGCGGCUGGAUCA
rnacentral:rRNA from 1 species